rnacentral:rRNA from 1 species
AGUUUGAUCCUGGCUCAGGACGAACGCUGGCGGCGUGCCUAAUACAUGCAAGUCGAACGAAGCUUUCUUUCACCGAAUGCUUGCAUUCACCGAAAGAAGCUUAGUGGCGAACGGGUGAGUAACACGUAGGCAACCUGCCCAAAAAAGGGGGGUAACACUUGGGACCGGGGUUCUAACCCCACUACCCAUGACACCCCGCAUUGUAUUUCAUGAAAAGGCGGUUUUUCCUUUUCCUUUUGGAGCGGGCCUCGCGGGUUUUUUCUUUGGUGGGGGGGGAACCGGCUCACCAAGGGGUUUAAUACGUACCCAAACUGGAGAGUUUUAUCGCCCCCCAUUGGGACUGAGCCCCGGCCCCAACUUCCUGGGGGGACCAGCGGUGAGGAUUUCUCCCCAAAGGGAAGAAAGUUGGAUGGACCACCCCCGCAUGAAUGAAGAAGCCCUUCGGGUUCGAAAAAUUCUUGUUCUCAGAGAAAAAACGUGCGUGAGAAUAACUGUUCCACGUAUUGACGGUAUCUGCCCAGAAAGCCACGGCUAAAUUACGUGCCAGCAGCCGCGGUAAUACGUAGGUGGCGAGCGUUGUCCGGAUUUAUUGGGCGUAAAGGGAACGCAGGCGGUCUUUUAAGUCUGAUGUGAAAGCCUUCGGCUUAACCGAAGUAGUGCAUUGGAAACUGGAAGACUUGAGUGCAGAAGAGGAGAGUGGAACUCCAUGUGUAGCGGUGAAAUGCGUAGAUAUAUGGAAGAACACCAGUGGCGAAAGCGGCUCUCUGGUCUGUAACUGACGCUGAGGUUCGAAAGCGUGGGUAGCAAACAGGAUUAGAUACCCUGGUAGUCCACGCCGUAAACGAUGAGUGCUAAGUGUUGGAGGGUUUCCGCCCUUCAGUGCUGCAGCUAACGCAUUAAGCACUCCGCCUGGGGAGUACGGUCGCAAGACUGAAACUCAAAGGAAUUGACGGGGGCCCGCACAAGCGGUGGAGCAUGUGGUUUAAUUCGAAGCAACGCGAAGAACCUUACCAGGUCUUGACAUCUUCUGACAAUUCCAGAGAUGGAACGUUCCCUUCGGGGACAGAAUGACAGGUGGUGCAUGGUUGUCGUCAGCUCGUGUCGUGAGAUGUUGGGUUAAGUCCCGCAACGAGCGCAACCCUUAUUGUCAGUUGCCAUCAUUAAGUUGGGCACUCUGGCGAGACUGCCGGUGACAAACCGGAGGAAGGUGGGGAUGACGUCAAAUCAUCAUGCCCCUUAUGACCUGGGCUACACACGUGCUACAAUGGACGGUACAACGAGUCGCUAACUCGCGAGGGCAAGCUAAUCUCUUAAAGCCGUUCUCAGUUCGGAUUGCAGGCUGCAACUCGCCUGCAUGAAGUCGGAAUCGCUAGUAAUCGCGAAUCAGCAUGUCGCGGUGAAUACGUUCCCGGGCCUUGCACACACCGCCCGUC